rnacentral:rRNA from 1 species
GAAUCUUGCGCAAUGGGCGAAAGCCUGACGCAGCCAUGCCGCGUGAAUGAUGAAGNUCNNAGGAUNGNAAAAUUCUUUCACCGNNNNNGAUAAUGACGGUACCCGGAGAAGAAGCCCCGGCUAACUUCGUGCCAGCAGCCGCGGUAAUACGAAGGGGGCUAGCGUUGCUCGGAAUUACUGGGCGUAAAGGGCGCGUAGGCGGAUCGUUAAGUCAGAGGUGAAAUCCCAGGGCUCAACCCUGGAACUGCCUUUGAUACUGGCGAUCUUGAGUAUGAGAGAGGUAUGUGGAACUCCGAGUGUAGAGGUGAAAUUCGUAGAUAUUCGGAAGAACACCAGUGGCGAAGGCGACAUACUGGCUCAUUACUGACGCUGAGGCGCGAAAGCGUGGGGAGCAAACAG